rnacentral:rRNA from 1 species
UACAGAGGUGGCAAGCGUUGUUCGGAAUUACUGGGCGUAAAGGGCGCGUAGGCGGCCCGUCAAGUCCCGUGUGAAAGCCCCCGGCUCAACUGGGGAGGGUCAUUCGAUACUGAUCGACUCGAAGGCAGGAGAGGGUAGUGGAAUUCCCGGUGUAGUGGUGAAAUGCGUAGAUAUCGGGAGGAACACCAGUGGCGAAGGCGACUACCUGGCCUGUUCUUGACGCUGAGGCGCGAAAGCUAGGGGAGCAAACGGG